rnacentral:lncRNA from 1 species
ACUGAACCAUAUUCCUAGACUGUGACAAGUCGUACUGAACCAUAUUCCUAGACUGUGACAAGUCGUACUGAACCAUAUUCCUAGACUGUGACAAGUCGUACUGAACCAUAUUCCUAGACUGUGACAAAGGUGACUGAUGAUGGUGACAUUACGUAACUAACCAGCAACCCAUCAACAGUCUACUGUACCUACUGUCUGAGUAAAGGAUUUGGCAUCAUUAAACCCAACAGAAACACAGUCUCAAUGAGAGGGGAUGUCACCGCUGAAUACACACACCUUGGCUACGUCCUAAAUGGCCCCUAUGCCCCAUGUAGUGCACUACUUACGACCAGGGCCCUAUGGGUUCUAUGGUGAACUAAAUAGGGAAUAACAGGGUGGCAUUUGGGACACAGUCCUUGUUUUGUUGCAGAUAGAACACACUUUAGGAGUCACCAUGGCAGUGUCAGAAACACGCUGUAAAAUAUCAACAUCAAUCAAAACAAAACAACUAAAUAAAUCUUAGUAAAAAUCUGAGUUUGAGAGACAGGAUAUAUGAAACACAUUUUAUUAACCACACAUUCUAAUAUUUAUUUUGAAAAAUGAAUCUGUGUUUACACCUUCAAUUUAAUUACACUUAGAAAGGUUUUGCAGACACACGUUAGUGUUUUAACUAGUUCUGAACUACAAAGUCACUUGUAGUUCUUUUUACGUAGACACUGGGGAUUGUGGGAGUUGGAGUUUGGUAGCCAUUUUGUUUAGACGGAUCACUCCUUACUUCUCUUCAGACACUGUGCAAAUUGUUACAGUCAUCUAUAUCUAGCUACUCUUCUACAUAUAAAUAUAUAUUUAUUGAUGUGUUUGCAUAUACUUUAGAACAUAUCUGUAGUAGACUGUCGGCGUAACUAUGAUCUUUCUGGACAUCUUUCAACAGAAUGAAAAGGAGAGAAAGAUACACAGAAAUGAAAGUGUUGGCCGGCAAUCUGAGACAGUUUAGACUCACAAAACAAAUGAUGCAUCACACCUUCAUAGGAACCCUAGUUAGGAUAAAAGACAUGAUGAACCACCCUACAUAGGAACCCUAGUUAGGAUAACAGACAUGAUGAACCACCCUACAUAGGAACCCUAGUUAGGAUAACAGACAUGAUGAACCACCCUACAUAGGAACCCUAGUUAGGAUAACAGACAUGAACCACCCUACAUAGGAACCCUAGUUAGGAUAACAGACAUGAUGAACCACCCUACAUAGGAACCGUAGUUAGGAUAACAGACAUGAUGAACCACCCUACAUAGGAACCCUAGUUAGGAUAACAGACAUGAUGAACCACCCUACAUAGGAACCCUAGUUAGGAUAACAGACAUGAUG